AUAUUAAAAUUAUUGUUGUUGUCUAUACUAUUUUAACUCCAUAUUAAUGUAAUUUAAAAACUUCAACAAUUUUGUAAAAAAAUAAAAUUAUACAUAAAUUUUAAUAUUUUUAAUAAUUCAUUUUAAGUUUUUCUUGUUAAAAUAGAUGAAUUGAUACAUUUAAAAAGUUAUACCAGUAUAUUAAUGAAAAUCAUAAAUGAAACGCCUCAUUUGUUAAACCUCAAAUUUGAAUAUUAACUCCCUUUGCAGGUACAUUCCCCAAAUACAUUCAUAAUUACAAAAAACACAUUAGAGACAACAUUCAAAUUUAAGAUAAGAAAAAAUUUAUGAAUGAAAACAUAGCUCCAAUUCCAAAUCUGCACGAAAUUCAAGGACUUUUUCUUUAUAUCUUAUCUUAUCUUAUAUAAUACA